rnacentral:rRNA from 1 species
UAGCAACUAUACUGUGAAACUGCGAAUGGCUCAUUAAAUCAGUUAUCGUUUAUUUGAUAGUACCUUACUACUUGGAUAACCGUGGUAAUUCUAGAGCUAAUACAUGCUAAAAACCCCGACUUCGGAAGGGGUGUAUUUAUUAGAUAAAAAACCAAUGCCCUUCGGGGCUCUUUGGUGAUUCAUAAUAACUUAACGAAUCGCAUGGCCUUGUGCUGGCGAUGGUUCAUUCAAAUUUCUGCCCUAUCAACUUUCGAUGGUAAUGUAUUGGAUUACCAUGGUUUCAACGGGUAACGGGGAAUUAGGGUUCUAUUCCGGAGAGGGAGCCUGAGAAACGGCUACCACAUCCAAGGAAGGCAGCAGGCGCGCAAAUUACCCAAUCCCGACACGGGGAGGUAGUGACAAUAAAUACUGAUACAGGGCUCUUUUGGGUCUUGUAAUUGGAAUGAGUACAAUUUAAAUCCCUUAACGAGGAACAAUUGGAGGGCAAGUCUGGUGCCAGCAGCCGCGGUAAUUCCAGCUCCAAUAGCGUAUAUUAAAGUUGUUGCAGUUAAAAAGCUCGUAGUUGAACCUUGGGCCUGGCUGGCCGGUCCGCCUCACCGCGUGCACUGGUCCGGCCGGGCCUUUCCUUCUGGGGAGCCCUAUGCCCUUCAUUGGGUGUAGUGGGGAACCAGGACUUUUACUUUGAAAAAAUUAGAGUGUUCAAAGCAGGCCUAUGCUCGAAUACAUUAGCAUGGAAUAAUAGAAUAGGACGUGUGGUUCUAUUUUGUUGGUUUCUAGGACCGCCGUAAUGAUUAAUAGGGAUAGUCGGGGGCAUCAGUAUUCAAUUGUCAGAGGUGAAAUUCUUGGAUUUAUUGAAGACUAACUACUGCGAAAGCAUUUGCCAAGGAUGUUUUCAUUAAUCAGUGAACGAAAGUUAGGGGAUCGAAGACGAUCAGAUACCGUCGUAGUCUUAACCAUAAACUAUGCCGACUAGG